rnacentral:tRNA from 1 species
GUAGCACAGUGGUUAAGCGCUCGACUGCUAAUUGAAAGGUCAUGAGUUCGAACUCAUC